CAUGGUGGACUCCAAGGCCCUCCAGACGCCCUUGCUCUCCAGCCAGUGGUAUCUGGGCUCACGGUGGCGAGGGGAGGGGAGGAGCGUGGGGUUGGGGCAGGAGACGCUCUCUUUGGCGUGGAACCUAUGACUCUGAGCCGGGGUCAAGGUGAACUGCUUCCCGGAACAGUCCAAGCCUGGGGAGUCAAGCAUUACUUUCAAACCGAACAAAGGCCGGAGCCGGGGGGGAGGCGGGGGAACGGCCCGGCUGUACUGAAGCGCUUCGGAGGCGGAGGUGCAGCCCAAGAGGCUGAGGCGGCAACGGAGCGCGCUGCUGCGUUUGUGCGCAAGUGACACUCCUGUGCCACACACAAAAGGCCUUCUUCUCCCCACCUUCUGCUGCUUUUCAGCCCUCGGGCCCCUGCCAAACCGGCUCAUAGGACGCCCGGGGGCUCCUGGCCCCCUAUCCAGGGCAACUCAGCCUUUGGGACAUCCAUCGCUGCCAAGGCAAACCUCUCCAAACUUUCCCCAAACUCGGACGGCUGGGGAGGGACCCUGGCUGGAGGCGCGCAUGCGCCCCGUCUGCUGCUGCCAGUUCCCAGGGUUCCGGAGAGCCGGGGUGGAGUUGGAGGUGUAGCCCUAGAGGCCUGCCUAACCCCUACUAUACCAAAAGUCGGGGUUCGGGUGCGGUCUGUCCGCCCAGGAGGCAGGAAGCAGCUGCCCGGCACCAGCUCUCCACCAUUUUUCUACCUUUGCGCAUGGAAAUCUCCAAAAAGGGAUCCAAGAAGCGGCGAGUUGAAUUGGGGGUCAUCGGCCUGGAAGAAGCCGGGAAUCGGAGCCCAAGACUUCUUCUAAGGAGGCCCCAGGUCCCUGCGCCCCACUGACCUGGCAGGGAGCCUCGGGCAUUCCUGCUGCUUCAGGUCGGAUGGCCAGGAACGCAGGUUGUUGGCGGGCUGGUUUUGCCUGGUGGCCUGAGCGCCCGCAUUAGCGGCCACAGUGGUCGGGGCACAACCUUCUUGCUGGUCCCAUUUUCGGGCUCUUUGGGGUCUACUGUUGCUUCCCAGAGAGGUUUGGCCUCUGAAUGAUCCUCUCAAAUUAAUGUCAGCAGGUUUCCUGGUGUGUCCACAUCUGUUCCAAACAACCUGUUGCGCUGGCAUUGCGUUGGAAAGGCACUGGCACUUUACUUGAGGGAAGCAGGUUGUGUUGCUUGUCCGGGCUUCCAGGACAGGAUUUAAGGUUCUCUCUUAAUGAGAGGCACCCCUCUCCUCCUCCAGUGAUACCUGGCGUGCUUCAUUCACCCUGUCCUUGUCCCAACAAUUCAAGGCACCUGGGCACCCUUGUACCUUGCCUCCUCUAGGGUCUCCUCAUGUAAUUCUUUGUAUGUUAGGUAGCAAGAUUAGACAAAGAUCCGGAUUAGAGGGAUACCACAACUAAUUCACCCUUUCACUCCCCCAGCUCGCUUCCCUCAACCCUCUGCAACCAGAUAGAAACCUUUGGUGUAUAAGCUCUGAGAAAAGAAAGCUAGCUCUUUAUGAGCUCCUGUCCUAGAAAGACCGACGCUUGGGGGGAAUUCUCUCUCCCAAAGAUUUUUAAAAAUGGUGUCUAUUUUGCAGCUUCCCUCCAGUCACUGUCCAGGCUUCCAUUUCAUGGUCAUCUCGCCAAGAGCUAGUCAUCUACAGCUGGAAUAUGAGAAAAAGCUUUUGAAAACUGACUGGGUUGAUAAAUUUGCCUAGGAGAGGUUUCUAGGAGUUUAUUAUGAAAUCCAGUUGAACGAGCUUUGACAUUAAAAAAAAAAACUGGGCAUGCUUGCACUGGAUGAAUUCAGAAAAAAUUCAUGUCCCACUAACUGAUCUGAAACAAGAAUAGAAAAUUUUAAAAUGAGCCACUUCCAAAUGAAGGGCGCUUGGCUGCAACCUCACAAAGACCACAAGUGCAUACAAUUAAAUAUUAGGGCUCAGCAAUGAGCAUUUGUGGCAAUAGCAAAUGUGUGACUCCUCGCAGCAAUUACUUGCAAGUUUUUCCGUACUUUUGAGAACAUACUUGACGCCUCAUUUCUUUGAUGACUGCUCAAUAGACACCCUGACACAGUAGUGGAGCUGCCCCUGCCCCAGCUCCCCUCUAGCUCACAGGGCUUUCAUCCAGGGCUUGAAUUGUGUUGUCAAAGUUUAGUAGACAGAGGAGGGGGCAUGAGAACGGGAGGGUGUCUUGAAAAGUUCUGGAAAUCGGUAUAUUUUGCAGGUGUAGAAUGUGCCUAAUAGCCAUGGCUUGUGCGUGCUCCCCGAUGGUGAAGGUCUGACAAGGACAGCUGGCUAGUUUUCAGUGUGAAAACACCCCCUCCGUGGACCAAACACAACGACACUGACCUUUCUGCAGGGGAACCAGAGAUGUGCCUUUGACUGAAUUAGCCACAAAGACGUCUUGCUAUGACUUUUGUUCACCACGAAAGCAAAGAAAUAUUGUGUCUAAUAUGAAAAAUACUGUUCACAGCUUUUCUGUGCCCCUAAAGAAGUAUUACAGUGCUGAUUUACUGGCCCCGUUCUCUAGAAAUGGCUGGACACAAGGCGGGGUGGAGGGGUGGGAUGUGGGAAUGGGACAAGGAGGAGGAGUUGGUAAGUUAAAUUGCCUGCUGCUGUUUCCAAGUUCUCUCUGUGCAGCAGCAAAUUUAUCAAUCUUUUCACCUGACAAUACUUUGAAAUAUAUCAUUGUCAUCCCAAGUUGUUUGAUAGAUUAACUGUAGGAACACAGCCUUUUCCAAGGUCAAGUUGAAGAUUCUUGUUUGCUGUUUAACUAAGUUGUUUAAAAACUCAGAACAAUGCCUGCCUGUUAAAUUUCCACUUGUUCUCAUGGGAUAUUGGAAAGCAAAGUUUCCUGUUGACUGAGUGUGUGGACACGUCAUCUUUUUGAGUUAAAUUCAGCAAACGGGAUUAGCAAUGAGAUCAACCCCUUGCAGACACAGAGGAAAUUAAAGCCCUCUCUUAUCCUUUCAAUCUGUGUACUAAUGUUUAUGUGUGUCAGGGGCUGGUUACAGCCACACAUAUCACGUUCAGCUUUCUAAUUUUACCCCAGUGGGAAGGUACAAAUGUGCUCUUCUAAAGCAGGAAGGCACAGAAAUUGUGGCCACUCCUGUGGGGUUUUGUUGAUUGUUUAACAGAGCAUAACCUGUUGCCUUAAAGCUUCAGUAAAAAUAAAGCCAAUUCAAAACCAC